rnacentral:rRNA from 1 species
AUGAGGAACCGGUGGCUCACCAAGGAGGAGGUGGAGGCCUUCUGGAGGCAGCAGAAGAAGCCGGCGCCCGAGGACAACGUUAAAGGCGGCACGACCGUCGUCACCUCCCCGCUGUCGAGGUCGACCCCGCGUGCGUCGACUCUGUCUCAUGUCCGUUCGUCGCCUCCGGACAAAGCGACGAGAGCGCUAGCUAGAAUACACAGUGAACAUUCCAUAAGAUUUUUUAAAGCAUAUUUAACACGCUGCGGCGUCUGGUGCAUCGGAUACUUUCCCCAUGGGCCGGACCGGAAUAAUCUUGUUGGGAUGCCGAAAUUAAUUGCUCGGCUUCAGCACAAUCAGUCUCCACCAGAAGUGAGAGUUGAGAGUAUUUAUAAUCUUGAAAUCUCAUUCCACUUUGGAGCUUAUGCAAGGGUUGUUGGUUCAUCGUUGAUCAGGUGGAGGGGGGCCAAGGCCCCCCUCCCCCUCCCCCACCCACACCCACACACUCCAGUAGUUGGUGUACCCCCUCCCACACAAAUAGUUUUUUUUUGCGAGAGGUCUUUACGGUACCCUAUACUGCUACUGGGGAAGGAGCAGUAUAUGUGUGAUCCCACCGUUGAUCACAAAGGGAACUGCUCUGGUGGGCCAAUACUUCUGAGCGACCAGGACACAAGCAGGUUGAGCCAUGCCUGGGUGAGCAUUCUGGCACACGACGUGGUUGUCGACCUCACAGCAAAGGUAGAUGAGCAGCUCCACGUCCUGCAAGAUGCGGCCGAAGUAGAGGUUCCGCCACGCUCCGGCACUCACCUAGACGCAGCUCUUCCGGCGUCAGAAGACUGGCACAUCUUGCACAUCCUGGCCCGUCGUCGACGCCGGCGAGCUCGUCCGCAGCGCAGGGUGGUUUGGCAUGCGCUACGGCCAUGCACGAGGCACAAUAAGCGUGAUGCUAGGGUGCGGAUGGGGCGCACGGCAACGGGCCAUAACAUCAUAACCGUAGAAGCAUCAAUCCACGAUCACGAUGGAUUAAGGGGAGACGAACGUCCGGGGACGUCUGCCGGAGAUGCAGAGUCGCCAAAUAAUGAACUGCAAGCGCGUAUACCGGUGGACGAGAAACACACAGUACUAGCGAUACUGCUGAUCCGUUUUCACCGGUACAGAUAUCUAACAACCCUUGGAUCUUUGCCAUUGGACGGCCUGUAUUCAAUAAAGGGUACCAUAAAAGAGCUCUUCCAAUAA